rnacentral:lncRNA from 1 species
CAUGAUUCCUAUUUGGGGCAGUCUAGGCUGGAGUCCUGGCAUUUUGCUUUCUUUUUUUACCAACAUCCACGUGAGUCUAAUAUGAAUGAUCCCAGAGAUGUUGCUGACAGGAAGCAAGUGUGAUGUAGUUUGGGAAGUUUUGAGACACGACCCCAGUCUUCUGCCUUUCUGACAGAGAACUAGAGCAUUUAUCCCGUGACAUGUCUGAGUUUGAUCAGCGUUGCCUACCCACAGGCCCGCUCAGAUGAAUUACCCGCAAAACGUUCUCCCGGGUCACCUAAGCCAAUUGGUCUGCCAGAAGAAGUUUGUUCACUAUUCACGGCAGGCUUGUGAAAUGCUUAUUUACGGUAUAGACCCAGACUAAAUAUUUCAAGUACAUUUGGAUAUGAAAACAUCCAAGGUGGUGCUACUGUGUAGUUGUAUCAUUAAAUGGGCCUAGGGGAUCCCUUGGAGGAAACACACAGCAGGAAGUCCAUGUUCCUGCAAUUCCCAUCUUCUACGUGAGCCAGCCCUGCCUGUCAGUCAGCUGUGGACAGCAGCAGAGUGUGAUGCUUAAGGAAGCAGGCUCCAGAGCCAGGCUCCUGGGAUGGCUGUGCCGUGGACCAGCUGUGUCACCUUGGGAAAUUUCCCAAACUCCUCUUAGUCUUCUCAUCUAUAAAUGGUGGAUCCAAUGCUUCCCUGCCUCAGUGUUGUCGUGAAGAUGAAAUGGGUUAAAACAUGUGAAACAGUGUCUGGCACACAGUAAACAAACCAUAAAUGCUGGUUGUCAUGUCCUUAUUGCU